rnacentral:rRNA from 1 species
CCUACGGGUGGCAGCAGUGAGGAAUAUUGGUCAAUGGACGAGAGUCUGAACCAGCCAAGUAGCGUGAAGGAUGACUGCCCUAUGGGUUGUAAACUUCUUUUAUAAAGGAAUAAAACGAGGCACGUGUGCCUUUUUGCAUGUACUUUAUGAAUAAGGAUCGGCUAACUCCGUGCCAUCAGCCGCGGUAAUACGGAGGAUCCGAGCGUUAUUCGGAUUUUUUUGGUUUAAAGGGAGCGUAGAUGGGGUGUUAAGGCAGUUGUGAAAGUUUGCGGCUCAACCGUAAAAUUGCAAUUGAUACUGGCAGUCUUGAGUACAGUUGAGGUAGGCGGAAUUCGUGGUGUAGCGGUGAAAUGCUUAGAUAUCACGAAGAACCCCGAUUGCGAAGGCAGCUUACUAAACUGUGACUGACAUUGAGGCUCGAAAGUGUGGGUAUCAAACAGGAUUAGAUACCCCAGUAGUC